AAAUUUCUUUAUAGAGGUGCUAGGAAACGUGUACAUAAAUAUUUUUCUUUCGGAGUGUUCUGAAAUGGGGCGUGGAAGCUAUAAAGGUGCUUUCAUGCCUUUGCAAGCAGACAGCCUGCAUGCUUGCAAAAACAAGCAGCCUUUCGAACCUGGAGUUUUCCGACUGCUGAAAAUCGUGAUAAAUCAUUUUAAUGGCGGGAGUUUUUAAAUCUGAAAAAGAUUAAUAAUUAAAAAAUUAAUUGUUUUAUCAGAUAAAGUAUCGAUAAAUGUCAGAAUAAUUGUAAUUGUGCAAUUCUUAAAUGUAAUUUAUAGAGAAUAAGGAUAAUGUUUAACAAAAUUAUAUGAUUGAGAUGUGGCAUAGAUUGGUGAAACCGGCUUGUUUGUUUUGAGUCGCAAGGGUUGCGAAAGUGAAUCGCAAGAACGAAGCAUAGUUUUAAUUAAAUAUUGCUUAUUAUUUAUUGUAUUAGUGAAGAUAAUUAAAGAGCAAGUCGGUAAAAACAGAAAUCAUGAAAGUGACUUCCAUAUUAAAUCAUACAAGUACUGAUCAAACUUUUCGUUCAAAGUGUAACGUUAUGGAUGACAUCAAACUCGAUGAGAAUGCACAGGCAGUUGUAAACUAUCAUAACCUAAUACAAAUUUUAGAAUUGGUUCAAACUUGUCAAUGCUUGUGAGAUUUUACUAUACCUUUGGCUCAAAGAAGUCCAUAUAUUGUAAACAAUGCAUAGUCUGACAUCGCUUCUCUAUUUCCAGGUUGGAGUUUACAAUUUAUGAGCCAAAAAUUUGCCAACUUGAAAAGGAAGUACCAUCGUCGAACAUUAUCGCUACCGGUGGUUCAAGUGCAUAACACAAAAAGCCGUGUGUUUUUGACCUUUACCUUGCUUUCUUAAAAGAUGUGUCAAAGCCUGCGGUAUCAUUACAGCAUGUAAUUGUACAAAGUCUUCAAAUAUAUAAUAUAUUUCGCUCUUUAUUUUGUGGCACCAUUUCUAAUGUCCGCCCACUUGACUCGAUCAGUGCUAACAGGAAAUCUGAAAAAGAUAAAGAAGAAAGUUUUAACGCAGACAAUUUAGCGUACAUAAGAAACAAAUACGCAGAAUUUGGCAAAAAAUGAAGUCCUUUGAUCCUGCCGACAAAGCGAUCUUGGAAACGCUCUCCAACAAACAGACGCGUCCUAACUUAAGCCAUCUACAACAGGGGGGAUUGCGGCUUGCCAAAGAAAUUGAAGAAUAUUCAGAGAAGACUGUUAGAUUGCAAAUUCAAGCCUACAUAACUUCUUACCUUGCAGAUAAGAAGAUUCAAGUGUGUGAAAGGAGAAAAGAAUAAUUUAUUAUAGAAUUUCCAGAGAAGAAUGAUAGAUAAUAAGUCCAAGUAUACCUUUGAUAACUUGUUACCUUAUUUGCAGAUGAAAAAAAAUCGAGUGUGUGAGUAGAGAAACGUAUAAUAUAUAAUCAAAUAAGUAUAAACGUGUUCAGCUUUUAAAGUUUAUAUAUCCUUUUUUAUUCAGGAUUUUUAUUUCUUCUUUCAUUAUUUAUAAAUUUCUUAUUUUUUAUAUGAUAUGAUUAUUUUAUCUCAUAUGAUUUUACAAGCAAAGUGCAAAUCUGUAAACUGUGAUUGCCUGCCGUGUUUUUAAUAAAGUUAAGAUUUGUCGAACAGAUAACAAUAGAGAUGUACCUUAAAAACAAAAACUAAUAUUUAUCAUUUUUACAUACAAAAGAGACGAUUUUUUUCCUGAAAUUAUACGACAAUAAACUAUCAUUGAUUUAACAACUGAAUAUGAGACACUAGACAAUAAUUCGCGAAAUUGUUAAUAACAAUUUCUUUUAAAAAAUGUCAGAAUCUGCCGUUUCAUCGUAGAACAAAUUUAUUUUAUCUUCAAUAAUUUUUGUGCUAAGCUCAAUUGUGAUAUAAAACCAACUUGAUCAAGAAAUUGAACAACUAAUUAAACUAAUAGAAUAAUUCGAAACUU